rnacentral:rRNA from 1 species
ACGGGUGAGUAACACGUAAGGAACCUGCCUCAAGGAUUGGGAUAACUCCGAGAAAUCGGAGCUAAUACCGGAUAGUUCAACGGACCGCAUGGUCCGCUGAUGAAAGGCGCUCCGGCGUCACCUUGAGAUGGCCUUGCGGUGCAUUAGCUAGUUGGUGGGGUAACGGCCCACCAAGGCGGCGAUGCAUAGCCGACCUGAGAGGGUGAUCGGCCACACUGGGACUGAGACACGGCCCAGACUCCUACGGGAGGCAGCAGUAGGGAAUCUUCCACAAUGGACGAAAGUCUGAUGGAGCAACGCCGCGUGAGUGAUGAAGGUUUUCGGAUCGUAAAACUCUGUUGUAAGGGAAGAACACGUACGAGAGGGAAUGCUCGUACCUUGACGGUACCUUACGAGAAAGCCACGGCUAACUACGUGCCAGCAGCCGCGGUAAUACGUAGGUGGCAAGCGUUGUCCGGAAUUAUUGGGCGUAAAGCGCGCGCAGGCGGCCUUUUAAGUCUGAUGUGAAAGCCCCCGGCUCAACCGGGGAGGGCCAUUGGAAACUGGAAGGCUUGAGUACAGAAGAGAA